GAUGAACGCUGGCGGCGUGCCUAAUACAUGCAAGUCGAGCGAACAGAUGAGGAGCUUGCUCCUCUGACGUUAGCGGCGGACGGGUGAGUAACACGUGGAUAACCUACCUAUAAGACUGGGAUAACUUCGGGAAACCGGAGCUAAUACCGGAUAAUAUAUUGAACCGCAUGGUUCAAUAGUGAAAGACGGUUUUGCUGUCACUUAUAGAUGGAUCCGCGCCGCAUUAGCUAGUUGGUAAGGUAACGGCUUACCAAGGCAACGAUGCGUAGCCGACCUGAGAGGGUGAUCGGCCACACUGGAACUGAGACACGGUCCCGACUCCUACGGGAGGCAGCAGUAGGGAAUCUUCCGCAAUGGGCGAAAGCCUGACGGAGCACCGCCGCGUGAGUGAUGAAGGUCUUCGGAUCGUAAAACUCUGUUAUUAGGGAAGAACAAAUGUGUAAGUAACUAUGCACGUCUUGACGGUACCUAAUCAGAAAGCCACGGCUAACUACGUG
rnacentral:rRNA from 1 species